rnacentral:rRNA from 1 species
CCUUUACUAUAGCUUCGCCUUGGCGUUAGCGACCGUAUGUGUAGGAUAGGUGGGAGGCUAUGAAACCGGGGCGCCAGCUCUGGUGGAGCCAUCCUUGAAAUACCACCCUUACUGUCGUUGACGUCUAACCGAGGGCCGUUAUCCCGGUCCCGGGACAUGGCGUGGUGGGUAGUUUGACUGGGGCGGUCGCCUCCCUAAAGUCGUAACGGAGGCGCGCGAUGGUGGGCUCAGACCGGUCGGAAAUCGGUCGUCGAGUGCAAUGGCAUAAGGCCCGCCUGACUGCGAGACUGACAAGUCGAGCAGAGACGAAAGUCGGCGCAUAGUGAUCCGGUGGUCCCGCGUGGAAGGGGCCAUCGCUCAACGGAUAAAAGGUA